AAUUAUGGCGGGGCGUACGGGGCCGACUUCGGUCGGGCCGGGAUCGUGUGUAGCCGGUGUUGAGAACCCCGUACGUCUCGCCACCCCG
rnacentral:antisense_RNA from 1 species